CCUACGGGAGGCAGCAGUGAGGAAUAUUGGUCAAUGGGCGCGAGCCUGAACCAGCCAAGUAGCGUGAAGGAUGACUGCCCUACGGGUUGUAAACUUCUUUUAUAAAGGAAUAAAGUGAGGCACGUGUGCCUUUUUGUAUGUACUUUAUGAAUAAGGAUCGGCUAACUCCGUGCCAGCAGCCGCGGUAAUACGGAGGAUCCGAGCGUUAUCCGGAUUUAUUGGGUUUAAAGGGAGCGUAGAUGGGUUGUUAAGUCAGUUGUGAAAGUUUGGGGCUCAACCGUAAAAUUGCAUGUGAUACUGGCAGUCGUGAGGACAGGUGCGGUAGGCGGAAUGCGUGGUGUAGCGGUGAAAUGCUUAGAGAUCACGAAGAACUCCGAUUGCGAAGGCAGCUUACUAAACUGUAACUGACAUUGAUGCUCGAAAGUGUGGGUAUCAAACAGGAUUAGAUACCCGUGUAGUC
rnacentral:rRNA from 1 species